CUAGGGAAAGGGAAUCACUGCUGCAGUUGACAAAUGGGAGUUCUCCCCUUAAGGGGAUUUUUGUGUAUUUUUACCAGAAUGCUGGAUCUGUCUGUACCCCAGCGUGGGAUGGGUAGACACUGCACUCCCAACAGUAAUAAUCAGGGUGCCUCAAUGGUCCCAGAACUGACAGUCAGGGACUCUUAGAUUUGGUUUUGUUUCUUUAAGCCUCUGUUGCUGCCCCAGCACCUCCAGCUUAUAGGACCAUCAGCAGCUGUGAAUAAUCCUCUGUUGGAUGAAGUCCUGAGACAGCAUUGCAGGGGCUGCUGAGCUAUGACAGUUUAAAACAAGGAGGAUUUUCAUAGCAUAAACCUCAAGCAUUGAAAAAUCCAUCUGAACCCCGGGAGGGGCACUGAGCAGUCCCACUUGUGCCCCUUGUGCUGAAUCAACACUUCUGGGAGCAGCACUAGAGUGACUGAGCAGAGGCUGCUAAGUGAACAAGACAAGAGCCUCAUGGCAGUGCUGACAGAG